GGCUGACCUGCGGAGGCCGGGGAGGGCGCGCUUCCUGUCGGUUGGCCGUCUGUGUUCCUCCGCGGGGCCCACACCGCCACGCAGGCCGCCUCCGACGGGAAGGGUGCAACUCAAGGAGUCGCUAAGAUGCCAGCUGCGGCUGAACCGGCCGCCCUUCCCACUAUCUGUGAUACUUAUUGUUAUAUCAUGGUGUAUAUAUUCAUGCCUUCAAGUGUACAAGUCUUCUAGGAUAGUGUUUAUGACCACCAGAGAAAGCUGCUUUUCCUAGGCUUUCUUGCAGAUACAGCAUGGAAGAAAAGAAGGACUGCACUAAAUCAGAAACAUUUGAGGUUGAGAUGCAGUUGCUGAUGGAAGGAACAAGAAGAGAACCCAGUAUGAAGGAGAAAUGACAAUGAAGUUGGUGGUCAGUGCAAUGGGAGAAACAACUGUUCAUCCGCGACUGAUUUGAGAUUUCCAAAACAAAUCACAAAUAUAAUUAAUACU
rnacentral:lncRNA from 1 species